UACGGAGGGGGGCUAGCGUUGUUCGGAAUUACUGGGCGUAAAGCGCGCGUAGGCGGACCUGCAAGUCGGGGGUGAAAGCCCGAGGCUCAACCUCGGAACUGCCUUCGAUACUGCGGGUCUCGAGUCCGGGAGAGGUGAGUGGAAUUCCUAGUGUAGAGGUGAAAUUCGUAGAUAUUAGGAAGAACAACCAGUGGCGUAAGGGCGG
rnacentral:rRNA from 1 species